GGUGCGUAGAGUCUACAAGUCAGUGAUGAAAUCUCUUUGCUUAACAAGGAAAUUGCCAUUGAAACUGUUAGACUUGAGAAUGGACGAGGUAGGCGGAAUUCGUAGUGUAGCGGUGAAAUGCAUAGAUAUUACGAAGAACUCCAAUAGUGUAGACUGCUUACCAGACCAUAUCUGACACUAAGGCACGAAAGUGUGGGUAUCAAACAGGAUUAGAUACCCUGGUAGUCCACACAGUAAACGAUGAAUACUAACUGUUUGCGAUAUACAGCAAGUGGUCGAGCGAAAGCGUUAAGUAUUCCACCUGGGAAGUAUGCCGGCAACGGUGAAACUCAAAGGAAUUGACGGGGGCCCGCACAAGCGGAGGAACAUGUGGUUUAAUUCGAUAAUACGCGAGGAACCUUACCCGGGCUCGAACGAUAUUUGAAUACAUCCGAAAAGAUGUAGCUAGCAAUAGCAAAUACCGAGGUGCUGCAUGGUUGUCGUCAGCUCGUGCCGUGAGGUGUCGACUUAAGUGUCAUAACGAGCGCAACCCUUACCGAUAGUUACCAUCAGAUAAUGCUGGGGACUCUAUUGGGACUGCCACCGUAAGGUGUGAGGAGGGAGAGGAUGACGUCAAAUCAGCACGGCCCUUAUGUCCGGGGCGACACACGUGUUACAAUGGGAGAAACAAAGGGUCGCUACCUGGCAACAGGAUGCUAAUCUCGAAAAUCUCUCUCAGUUCGGAUUGGAGUCUGCAACUCGACUCCAUGAAGCUGGAUUCGCUAGUAAUCGCACAUCAGCCAUGGUGCGGUGAAUACGUUCCCGGGCCUUGUACACACCGCCCGUCAAGCCAUGGAAGCUGGAAGUACCUGAAGUAUGUAACUGAAAAGAGCGUCCU
rnacentral:rRNA from 1 species